rnacentral:rRNA from 2 species
UGCGUAGGCGGUUUGGUAAGUCUUAUGUGAAAUCUACAGGCUCAACUUGUAGUCUGCAUGAGAAACUGCCGGGCUUGAGUAUGGGAGAGGUGAGUGGAAUUCCUGGUGUAGCGGUGAAAUGCGUAGAUAUCAGGAGGAACACCUGUGGCGAAAGCGGCUCACUGGACCAUAACUGACGCUGAUGCACGAAAGCUAGGGGAGCAAACAGGAUUAGAUACCCUGGUAGUCCUAGCCCUAAACGAUGACUGCUUGGUGUGACGGGUACCCAAUCCCGCCGUGCCGUAGCUAACGCGUUAAGCAGUCCGCCUGGGGAGUACGGUCGCAAGGCUGAA